UUUUUUUUUUUUUUUUUGAGGUAAAAACCCCCACCUUUAUUAAUUCAUGAUGUUCAUGGGGAUAAUUACAGAAUCAUGUGGGGUGCCAAACCACACAUGACGGCCAAUCUCUAAAGAAAUAGCAAAUCUAGCUAAAGCAUGAGCCUCAAAAUUGCUCUUUCUACUCUCAAAACGAAACCUGCAUGCCCCAAACUCUUCUCUUCUGGCUGUUAUCUCCUUCACUAUGGCUGCAUUUGCUCCUCCCGUUCUUUCUACAAUGUCUUUUAUCACUGAUUGGCAAUCGGAUGCAAUCAGUAGGUGGUGUUCAUCUAGGUCAAGAGCCAAAGACAAAGCCUCCCUACAAGCCAAAGUUUCGAGCGUUGGUGGGUCUGUGAUCGCAUAGACCAUUGCUGAACUGCCAAGGUACAUGCCUCGCUCGUCCCUGCAUACAACAGCGGCAGAGCCCCUUCCAUUAUGCGUAGAAAUGGCAGCGUCGACAUUGAACUUUGAGAAUCCCGUAGGUGGCGGAACCCAUGGUUCGCGAACAUUGCAGGGAGCUACCGAGUUUGCUCGAACAUUGCAGGGAGCCGGCGGCGGAGUGGAGGGGCAUGGACGGACACAGCAGAAAUGGACGGGCAAAUGGGCUGAGCUUAAGUAUGGGAUAGACUAGAUCAUCGGGCUGGCUUUGUACUUUGCGGGCUGGGCUUAGCCCAGAAGGAGAUCGAUGUUGACAAUUUUAUUUGUUCUUGAGAACCCAUUGUCGUUGACUUCAUAGCUUCGACAAAAAAAGCUUGAUAGUUUGAAAAAGACUCACGGUGAGUGUCAGCGACUGAUUUCUCAUUCCGUUCGUGACAACAAGCAAUUUCGUGUUCACAAGUUUGCGAUUUGCAUCAGCUGAUGCCUGUCAAGGAACUAUAAAGGUGUGAUUGAAAAUAUGACCACAAAGUGGCUGUAGUUUAGUGGUGAGAAUUCCACGUUGUGGCCGUGGAGACCUGGGCUCGAAUCCCAGCAGCCACAUGUUGUUCUUGUUUUCUUAUUUUCUUAAUACGUUGCAGAAACCAGUGGAACUAUUUUGCUCUUUUGGGCAUACCAUUCACUUAUCUUAACCUUUUCUAUGCAAUAUAUCCGCUGCUGUGCCAAAAUAAUGGCAAGAAUCAGUGACUUCACAUAGAAUCCAGUAACCAAACUAGUUUCUGCACAAGCAUGUCUCUACUGUCAAUGACAUUUUAUAACGAGUCAGAAGUAGCUCCAACCACAAUAUCAUUAUGUUCCUUGGACAUAAUUUACUUCCCUCAACUCUUUCUUCUUGUGUUAACCUUUUUUUCUUGCGGGAUUUCUUGUGUUAACCCUUUCCCCAGGCGUGAAAAUGUAUCCAAGGAAAAAAACUGCAGCGCACAAAAUAGACCCUCAUAACUUACUGUCCAAGUGUCCAAUCAAAUUACAAAGAAUUUGAACCACAAUAUCAUUAUGUUCUUUGGACAUAAUUUACUUCCCUCAACCCUUUCUUCUUGUGUUAACCUUUUUUUCUUGCGGGAUUUCUUGUGUUAACCCUUUCCUUAAGAAAUUCCCCAGGCGUGAAAAUGUAUCCAAGGAAAAAAACUGCAGCGCACAAAAUAGACCCUCAUAACUUACUGUCCAAGUAUCCAAUCAAAUUACAAAGAAUUUGAACCAGCUCCAGCCAAAGCAACACGAGCAUUUCGCUAGAACAGGUUGAAAUGGUUGGUACCGAAUCAGCACAAUCCAGACCAUCCUUUUUUGCGGAUGGCAUAGAAUUCUUCUUUUUCUUCCAAUAGGGAGUGCCAUAUAUUAAUUAUCACAAGUCUUUCAAAAAAGAAGUUGUUAGAUGGAUAAGAGGGCAGAUAGCCCCAGCGAUCGAACCUCAUUCACAGGUGCUCAUAAGGGUAACGGUCUCCAUGUGUGCUUAUAAAGCUGGCCAGCUGGGUUAUAUAUUUGGGAACUUUUGCAACUAUAUCAAAAUUCUUUAUAAACGCACCCUUACAGGAAAAAACAAAAUUAUAUUCAGAGCAAACCUUGAUUGCUGCCUCGGCGCCUCCACGAAGUAAACUUGUUUAACCCAGUUGAUUGGAUCUAAUUAAAGACACAUUUUGCCAUCAUGUCUAUAGUAGCAAACAAUUGAUAAGAUUGUUAUCAUGUCCAUUAGUAUGGGGAUAACUAGAGCAGAUUGUUUCUUGAGAUGCUAAUUAGAUAACGCAUAAGCAUCAGGACAUACUAAUUUGGACAUAGGCAGAAACUCCAAAUUAUUAUUGUCUACACAUCAGGACGGAACUAGAACAGGUAGGAAAAGGCGCAUCACAGCACAAGACGCCUUACACAGCACACGGUACAAGCCACAAGGGGCACGGAUAAUCCAUUAACUAGCUCGAUACGAUACGAUAGAUCUCGUCUUAUUCUGGGUGGCAAUUUAAAACGAAACACACGCUUGCGAUUCAUGCAUAACUACUACUCGCUCCUUCAUCAGGUCCAUCCAUGCCAUCUCCUUGAUCUGAUUUGAUUGAGGCCUCAUGGAUCACUUGCAGGUGCACGGGUUGCAGGUGCAGUUGGGGCCGCACUUGCACCCUCCGUUCUCGGCGGCGGCCUCGAACGACGGGGUGCCCUUGGAGGGGGCAACGCCCAUGAUGAGGGUCUGGGAGGCGGUGUUCACUCCCUCGUCCAUCUCAGGGUACAUCUUGCACCUGCAUGCACAAGACGAUCAUUAUCAGUCACAAUUCACAGAGACUCUUGUAGAUCUCUCCAAGAAAUCGACAGGCAAACAGACAUCGUGCAUGGCCUCAUCUAAGGGAGGGAGAUUUUUUGAUUUUUUUUUCCCUCCUCCUCAGCAGAUUUGUUCACGCGCAUCUCUUAAUUUAGUUGUUGUUAUAAGGACAAGAGGAGAUCGAUGGACAUGCAUGCUGUUAGGCAGCGGCCAGCGGAACAAGAUGGAUCGAGGAGAGAUUUAAGGAAAAGGUUGAGAAAGAAGGCAUAAAGAUCGGGAGAUCGAACGCGGGUUUUAGAAGGAGAUUGGAGAUGAAAAAUUACCCUCCGCAGCCGUUGCCGCACUUGCAGCCGGAUCCGCACCCGCAGUUGCCUCCGCAGCACGACAUGGUUGGUGAUGAUCGAACUCGAGUUUAUCCGCUCCGCUCUGUUCUCUGAUCUGAUCUUGCUCUGCUUUCGAAGGUUGGUGCGCAGUCCCGUGAUUUAUAGAGGGGGUAGAGAGGCUAUCCACCGUCCACGUCUCGGGGCGCGUGGGGGCCAUGGGCUGGACGCCACUGCCGAGGUGCCCGUCCAUUCUGGCGUGUGCCGUUUUGGCCCCUCACUGCUGAUUGAACCAACGCACGCACCCACGAACGGUGACCGUCGCCCGUCCGUCCAUCGCCACGCCAUGGACGGCGGACGCGGACAAAAUGCGCUACCGGCGUGCAUGCAUCCGCGCUACACGUCCACCGUCGAUAGUUCCACCCUGCCAAGUGUGGCCUACGCCCGAUUAAUUAUCAACGAAGCAUCCAGAUCAUGCUAGCUACUCACCCGCUGGACCGGAGUGUGGUUUUUCCGGAUCAACCCGUGAUAACAUUUGCCCGACAAAUUGCUUGCUUUUUCUGUAUAUAUGGAGAGAGAUCACUACAUCCUAUUUUUUCAUAUAAUUUUACUUUUAACUAGACUAGUUAAUUAUCCGUGCGUUGUAGCGUGGACAUACAGCAUCAAUCUUCUUCGACAUAUGCCUUACAUCCAUCUAUUCUAUAUUUUUGGUUCUCACAAAAAAGAUAAAUCUACUCCCUCCGUCCCAUUAUAUAGGAGCGUUUCUGACACGCGGAGAGGGUAUGUGUUUUGCAAUAUAUGAUUUGAUUAUAAUUAGGUGAAAGCAAGGAAUUUUUUUUUCAUUUAGUUUGGGUUUUGGUAUGAUAUUAUUUGAUUUGAGUAUAAGUAGGGAAGGCAAUAGAAGUUUUGAUUUAGUUGAGAUUCGAUAUGAUUUGACCGAGUUGAUGCGGGGUGUGUUUUUCUAGAUUAUUCUAAAUUACUCUAUUUAUAUUGGUUUUAUUUGAUCACGAACCCAAGGGGGGCCUACAGGAAAAACUGGGGAAGAAGGUGAGACAAACCCACAAACUACUCUUUCUUUGCGGAGGAUAGGAGAUCUUCAUUACUUAGGGUGGUACAUCAUUCUUACAAAGAGUAACAAUAUCAUCAGUGACUCCUCCUAACCACACCACAUUGCGCGUGGAGUGCACCGCCAAUAGAUAGCAAGGGCAUGGCUAACUUUUUUCUGAGUACGACUAAUCUUACUAACAAAGAUCUCCCUCGCAUCCUUCAUCAUCUCAUGUAUCUCUCUAACUAGCACCAUAUACCUCAAAGGAUUAGGUAACGUAACUCUUUAGUGGCAAAGAUAAUUCAUGUGUGUUUCAAUGCAUAUAUUAUUUUUAAUGCAUUAGGUCAUGAUUUACAUGCUUAGUCAUAAUAGUCAUGUAAGUAAAUGUUUGCCAAAUAAAAUCAUGUACAUGACUUACCUACCAAGAAAAAUUCUAAGAUUUAUUUGGUAAAUAUAUUUUUUGACUUACCAAAGAAAAUAUAUUUGAUAAGUCAAUAAAGGACAGUUAAUGCGUUUUCAGGGGAAACCACUAGAAAAAAUAGAGAUACAAAAGGAGGAACAAAAUCAAAACAGAGAGAAGGGAGUUGGUUCCGUUGCCUCCCCUCCUCACUCCAUUUUUUCCUCCUCACGGCCCCCUCCCUCCUUGGUUUUCCUGUUGAUUUUUUGGUACUCUCAACCAAUGUUGCACCAAACUAAAACCAACAUAAAUAGAGUAACUUGGAACAAUUCAAACCAAAUUAAUACUUUUUUCUAAAAUCAUGCCCUACAUUAACUCAAUCAAAUCAAAUCAAAUUUUCCUAAAAUCACAGCCAAAUCAAUAAUUCCCUAAAAAUGAUAUCCUACAUUAACUCAAUCAAAUCAAAACAGAUCUUCCCAAAAUUACAAUUAAAUCGAAACUUUCUUUUUCUUCACCUACAGAUACAAAUCAAAACAAAUCUUACCAAAACCUCAACUAAAUGAAAACUUCCCUUGCAUUCCCUAUACAUACUCAAAUCAAAUUAAAUCUUAUCCAGGUAUAAUAUAAUGUGUAUAAGGCAUAUGCCAGAUAUAAUUAGUGUUAACCACUAGAAUAUGUAUGCGGUCGUUGCAACGCACGGGCAAUUAGCUAGUGUACGUGAGGUUGAACGAAUAACGAGGUGAGCGGCAUAAUGUUACAUAGUAUCCUUACAAUUUACUAAGCUCCUUAGGAACAAAGGCCUAGCUUAGUGGUAAGAUUCCUUGUGGUGGAACUAGCCCAUCCGGCUGGUUCAAGUUCUAGACUUGACAUGGAUGCUUGCAUAUUUGUUGGAUUUUUUUUUUGGGACUUUUGGCGUAAUUGUUUCAAUUGUAUGGCGUGCCCGUCGGUUACAAGGUGUAGCAACGACUUCGUCAAUCUCGAGAUCUAUCGUCUUGGUCUCUUGGAGAUGCUCAAGGGGUGUAGAGACUUUGUGCAUGUGUAUUGUGAUCAUCUGCGUCUGUGUUGUGUUUUCUAAAAAGAAGAAUAGAAGUUUAGGAGAGAUCUAGUAUUUUUUUCUCUAUGUGGACCCCACCUAUAAGAGUCUAGUCAGUCAUGGGUCUCGCAUGACAAUAUCGGAACCGACAUUCUUGCUUUUGUCAGUCCACUACAUGUCGCCUCCCCACUACUUGGUUGUAUAGGCAAGGAGCAAAAGAAGGUUGUUGUGUUCAAGGUGCCGAUGUAUUUGGUCAUUACAAAUUCAUGGAAAAUGUCUGUGAAUUUAAAAUCAUUCUAAAAUUCUAACCUCCCUAGGAAUGUGGUUGUUCAUGCGUCGGGGUUUUGGUCGCCACCGAGAUGAACAAAUAUUCAAGAAUUUAUUUUUUGUGAAUUUCAAAAGAUGUUCAUCAAUUUUAAAAAGCGCUUACAAAUUUAGACGAUAAUCAUAAAUUUAAAAAUUGUUCACUAAUAUUGAAGACAGUCACGAUUUUUUUAAAAAUUAUGAGUUUUAAAUAUCUACACAAAAACAUUAAAACGGAAUUGAAAUUUUAAAAAAUAAUUAUACAUUUGAAACAUUUGCAAAUUUAAAAAUUUAAAAAUUAUUGAUGAAUAUGAAAAAAAAUCUUUAUGAAUUUGAAAAACAGAAAAUGGGUGGAGUAUCGGUGGGGUAUCAUUGCGCUUGUGCUUAUCCAUGCGUUGGUUGGUGGUGGACCAACAGACCAAUCAGUCGAAUCAAAAUUGAUGGACCAGUAGGUAAAAAUAUUCAAGAAUUUACAUUUUUGUGAAUUUCAAAAAAUAUUUACAAAUCUUAGAAAAUGCUCACCAAUUUAGAAAAUAACCCUAAGUUUUAAAAUUAUCACUAAUAUGGAAAAAAAUACUCACGAAAUUUUAAAAUGUUCAUAAGUUAUAAAAAUAUUCACAGUUUUUUAAAAUGGACAUGAUUUUUUCAAAAAGUUUGCCGAUUUUAAAAAGUUGUGAAUUCAAAAAUUGUUCACAAAUAUGAGAAAAUAUUCAUGAGAUUUAUAAAAGUGUUCACAAAUUGUUCAGGAAAUGAGUGGAGAAUCGGGGUAUCAUUGCGCUUGUGCCUAUCCAUCCGUUGGACCAGGCCCUGUACAUGGUGGUGGAGCAGCCAACCAAUCGGUCGAAUCAAAAUCGAUGGACCAGAAAAUGAAUACGACCCGGACAGAAUUUGCAAUCCACUAUACACGGUAGGCGUGAUUCGAGUCAUGCAUCUCAGCAUCUGUAUAACCAUGUGAACUUCAUUGUCUAUCAAUCGAUCGCCACUAGCUCGCUCACCACUUGUUCCGCAUGAAGCAAAUAUCUGGAGAAAGCUACACUCAUAUAUAUCAACUUAACCUUUUCUCCUGACCCUUCUCUUUCUUUCUUGGCAUGAAACACUAGCUGAAUUUGUUAACCACUGAAUUUUCCACAACGGAAUGUUUAACUAUAUUGUAUGGUGAAAUAUUUAACUAAUUGCACAAGCAUUAGCUGUUUAUUCCUUUGGGAGAAAAAUGACAGAUGAACGCGGGCACUGUUGUUUACUUGCACUGCGUUGGGAGACGUGUAAUAUCCCUAUCCAUGAAUAUAUCUGGCGCUCGCUUGCUACCGACGACGUGUCCUCGGCUGUCUCCUUUGGCAUAACAUACAAGCGCAAGAUAUGCAUCCGAAAGACAAAAAAUAUUCCUCUCAAAAAAAUGUUUAAUCUAUUCAUCAAACAUCAUGGCAGUAGAACACCAGAAGUAAUAAAAAUAUAUCCAUACUUUUCAACCAACAUAUAAAAAAAGUUCUAAAAUCCAAAUACUUAUAUCUCCUUUUGUCAUUUUCAGUAGUCCACGCUUGCUCAAGCAACGGCUGAAAAUCCUCAUGCCAUGAAGCUAGAGGAAAAUGUUGGGCCCUUGCUCCCAAACAGAAGCCCGGAGUAGAUAUUGUUGGAAAUAUGAGCAAAUUACUACGAGAUUUAAUCCGAAUAAACAGAAGAUGAAUCAUGACCACAGCAGCAGAGAUUAAGUUGUAGAAGCAUACUAGAAGCAUGAAUUCUACCACGAUCUCGAAAAGGAAGGAUAGAAUCACAUACGGUGCAGCGGGUGCAGCACCGCCGGCGUUGACGUUGUCGCCCAUGUCGUCGAGGACGAGGUUGCCGAGGUCGGGGAAGAAGUCGUCGUUCGCGAAGUCGUUGCUGCCAGCAGUCGCGCGAGUGUGCUCCCCAAAAACCUGAUCGCCCCUCUUCCGUACAGGAUCACAAGAGGCGGGGUUCCGGAGGCCUGCUGUCCCUUCUCGCGGUGCACGCCGGAAGGAGGGAUGGAGAAGACUUGCUUGGCGGCGCAAUGAUCUGGAACGGUGGUGAGAAACCGGCGUGGCGUGGCGAGGCGAGCAAGGAGGAGCGCGCGUGUAGGUCUCCUCUUCUCAUGCUCAUACAAGUGGUAGAAGAGCUCAUCUUAUAAAGAGGUGCAACUCUCUCUCAACUUCCGAGGUGGGACUAAACUUUAGCCUCACUCACUCCACUCACAUGUGUGCAUGAAUGGGCCAAGAGAAUUUCAGAAUUUUAGUUGGGCUUUGGGCCAAAGGCCUACUAGCAAAAUUCCAACAGAUAUAAAUAUACACACAGCCUCAUGAUAGGGUUUUUUUUCUUUUGAGGUGUGCCUGAUGAUAGAUGGUUUGGGCUGGCCAGCAUGGACCCAGUGACAGUUCAGCAGGUUCAAGCCCCAUUUCAGGCCACUAUGAACCCAUUUCUAGUAUGGGCCUCUCUCGGUGACCACUGGUUCUUUCUUGCUACCCGACAAGAAGAACUAGUAUUGCUAAAAAAAAAGAACCAGUAAUAAAGAUCUACGUAUAAAGAAGGGAAGAACAAGAACCCAAUCAACCCAGAAGAAUUAUCUCUUACAUUCCCAAUCAACCCAGAAGAAUUAUCUCUUACAUUCUCCUCAUGGAAGUAUGAGUGAGACUAGAACGCAUGAACCGACAAAUUAUUGUUCCAAGAUAUUUCUUACCUGAAGUAAGAUAUAUUCAAAACAGACACUGGUACAAUACAGUUGCUUCCCAUGUCUACCCAAUUCUCAGCAACUAGUCUAGAUGAACCACUAAGAUGCAUGACCACACAUUCAAACAACAUUCUCCUGACUGACUGUUCCUGUUCUCCUCUCCUAUUCCAGGAGGAAAGAACCAAAACGGUAUCUAAUAUCUUCAUGAGGAUGUAAUGCAACAACCCCUUACCAUUCCACGGUGUAAUAUAUAUCAGCACAACAGCUAAAUUAACCAAGAAAUAAAGGGGGCAGAAUAAAUGAAUGACUAACUAUCUAUCAAAGUAUCAAGAGCAAGACUCAAAACAUUAGACAACAUGAACUAAGAAAUAACAACUCUGAAAGGUUAGCUUGCUUCUGGUUGUAAGCUCAUGUACAACAAACAAUGGAUGGAAGUAAAUCACAGUUCAUCAUAGACGCGAGGAGCAUUUGUUGGGGCAGGUCCAUCUUGGGGUACUUUACCCAAUAUGUCUCCAGCUCAUACUGAGCCCGAUCUGAUUGCAUCAGCCAACUUCCUUUGCAGUGUCAACAGGCCAAUACGUCUCGAGACAACAUACAGAACUGCUAAGGAGAUUAUGAGGAACCCAACAGUCAGGAUGAUCCUGGAAAGAGAUAAUAGUUAGAAACCAGUACAACCCGACCCAGACAGUAUUGUUAUUACACAAGCAAAAACUCGUCUUGCGGAUGGAAACCAAAUGCAUAUUGCAACUGGAGCAGGUAUACAUGACUUAAAAGACAUUUGUUCCACUUCUUUUGUUUGACUGAAAGACCAGAAUGAAAGACUGCACGACCCACCAAAUCAUAAACGAUUGGUGCUACAUACCUAUCAAGAACAUCUUGUCGUUGCAUCGUGGAGAGCAAACCACGGGUGCGCAUCAGCAAAGAGUGGUGUCCUUGAUAUUCACCUUCAGCCUUUCGGAGAACACUUGUCGAUUCAUCUGCAUUAGAAAAGAAUUAGCUAGCAACUUGGCCUCGAUAGGUCUGGAAAUGCGUUAAAUGACAGAAACAGAGUAGUUCUUAUUCAUAUGGAGCACAUGACUGCCAUGGUUCCUUAGUAACAAAUUAAUAACCAACAAAAGUCUAUAAUCAAAUAACUGUACAUUUGUAAGGAAAGCUUGACCAGGCUUAAAUGUACAGAACCUUACAAGCGAGCAUCCUAUGCACAGGCUUAAUCACAGGAAAACUUACCAAAAGUUGACAAGGUAUUAGCGCUUCUUUCCACUUCCUGUCAAAAAACAUAUAAUAAAUUACUUUUGAACUUGCGACCAAGAAAUCAUUAGCAAUAUGAGAUAUCAACUAUACGAGCAGGAGUGCUAACCUGAACCAUCAACUGCCGAGACCUACGGAGGCUCUCAGUAAUACUUUCUGCAGCAGAUGUCAUCCCAGCCUUUGUCCUACAUCAGUUAGCAGGUUUGUGUUCAUUGUACAAACAUAAAUUACAGAAUUAUUAAAUAAUAUAUAAGGUGAUUUUUUUUAAUUAGUGCACUGCGAUUUCAUUUUGACGUCAUAUGAAAGAGUUACAUCAACACAACAAUAUCUAAUUUGUUGACCACAUUUUCUAGUUCAAGUAAGGAAGAUGUCUUAAGCUUUGCUCUAGCCUACAACAUGAUUGUAGCUAACACCCUCUUUAGAAAGAGAGAAUCACAUCUGGUGACUUUUAGUAGUGGCCAACACUCUAGCCAGAUUGAUUUCAUCCUCUCGAGAAGAGAAGAUAGGCGUGCGUGCCUAGACUGUAAGGUGAUACCUGGGGAGAGUGUUGUACCCCAGCAUAAGCUGGUGGUUGCUGACUUCCGCUUUCGAAUUCGUGUCCAGCGGGAUAAGCGUGCCAAGGUCACUAGAACGAAGUGGUGGAAGCUCAAGGGGGAGGUAGCUCAGGUGUUCAAGGAGAGGGUAUUUAAGGAGGGCCCUUGGGAGGAAGGAGGGGAUGCGGACAAUGUGUGGAUGAAGAUGGCGACUUGCAUUCGUAAGGUGGCCUCGGAGGAGUUUGGAGUGUCCAGGGGAAGGAGAAGUGAAGAUAAGGAUACCUGGUGGUGGAAUGAUGAUGUCCAGAAGGCGCUUAAAGAGAAGAAAGAUUGCUUCAGACGCCUAUACCUGGAUAGGAGUGCAGACAACAUAGAGAAGUACAAGAUGGCGAAGAAGGCCGCAAAGCGAGCUGUUGGUGAAGCAAGGGGUCGGGCAUAUGAGGACCUCUACCAACGGUUAGGCACGAAGGAAGGUGAAAGGGACAUCUAUAAGAUGGCUAAGAUCCGGGAGAGGAAGAUGAGGGAUAUUGGCCAAGUCAAAUGCAUCAAGGACGGAGCAGGCCAACUCUUGGUGAAGGACGAAGAGAUUAAGCAUAGAUGGCGGGAGUACUUCGACAAGCUGUUCAAUGGGGAGAAUGAGAGUUCUACCAUUGAACUGAAUGACUCCUUUGAUGAGACCAGCAUGCGUUUUGUGCGGCGCAUCCAGGAGUCUGAGGUGAAGGAGGCUUUAAAAAGGAUGAAAGGAGGCAAGGCGAUGGGCCCUGAUUGUAUCCCCAUUGAGGUGUGGAAAGGUCUCGGGGACAUAGCGAUAGUAUGGCUAACCAAGCUUUUCAACCUCAUUUUUCGGGCAAACAAGAUGCCAGAAGAAUGGAGACGGAGUAUAUUAGUAUCAAUCUUCAAGAACAAGGGGGAUGUUCAGAGUUGUACUAAUUACCGUGGAAUUAAGCUGAUGAGCCAUACAAUGAAGCUAUGGGAGAGAGUCAUUGAGCACCGCUUAAGAAGAAUGACAAGCGUGACCAAAAAUCAGUUUGGUUUCAUGCCUGGGAGGUCGACCAUGGAAGCCAUUUUCUUGGUACGACAACUUAUGGAGAGAUAUAGGGAGCAUAAGAAGGACUUGCAUAUGGUGUUCAUUGACUUGGAGAAGGCCUAUGAUAAGAUACCGCGGAAUGUCAUGUGGUGGGCCUUGGAGAAACACAAAGUCCCAGCAAAGUACAUUACCUUCAUCAAGGACAUGUACAAUAAUGUUGUGACAAGUGUUCGAACAAGUGAUGUCGACACCGAUGACUUCCCGAUUAAGAUAGGACUGCAUCAGGGGUCAGCUUUGAGCCCUUAUCUUUUUGCAUUGGUGAUGGAUGAGGUCACAAGGGGUAUACAAGGAGAUAUCCCAUGGUGUAUGCUCUUUGCGGAUGAUGUGGUUCUAGUUGACGAUAGUCGGACGGGGGUAAAUAGGAAGUUAGAGUUAUGGAGACAAACCUUGGAAUCGAAAGGGUUUAGGCUUAGUAGAACUAAAACCGAGUACAUGAUGUGCGGUUUCAGUACUACUAGCUGUGAGGAGGAGGAGGUUAGCCUUGAUGGCCAGGUGGUACCUCGGAAGGACACCUUUCGGUAUUUGGGGUCAAUGUUGCAGGAGGAUGGGGGUAUUGAUGAAGAUGUGAACCAUCGAAUCAAAGCCGGAUGGAUGAAGUGGCGCCAAGCUUCUGGCAUUCUCUGUGACAAGAGAGUGCCACAAAAGCUAAAAGGCAAGUUCUACAGGACGGCGGUUCGACCCGCAAUGUUGUAUGGCGCGGAGUGUUGGCCGACUAAAAGGCGACAUGUUCAACAGUUAGGUGUGGCGGAGAUGCGUAUGUUGAGAUGGAUGUGUGGCCACACGAGGAAGGAUCGAGUCCGGAAUGAUGAUAUACGAGAUAGAGUUGGGGUAGCACCAAUCGAGGAGAAGCUUGUCCAACAUCGUUUGAGAUGGUUUGGGCAUAUUCAGCGCAGGCCUCCAGAAGCUCCAGUGCAUAGCGGACGGCUAAAGCGUGCGGAGAAUGUCAAGAAAGGGCGGGGUCGACCGAUUUUGACAUGGGAGGAGUCCGUUAAGAGAGACCUGAAGGAUUGGAGUAUCGACAAAGAGCUAGCUAUGGACAGGGGUGCGUGGAAGCUUGCUAUCCAUGUGCCAGAGCCAUGAGUUGGUUGCGAGAUCUUAUGGGUUUCACCUCUAGCCUACCCCAACUUGUUUGGGACUAAAGGCUUUGUUGUUGUUGUUGUUGUUGUUGUUGUUGUUGUUGACCAUAUUUUCUAGUUCAAGUAAGGAAAGUUAUCAUUAUCCCUGUUCUCUCCAUAUCAGCAGUGAACAUCACCAUGACUGUCACCCAUAGGGACGUCGACAUAACCCUCCAUCACUGCACGCAGCCACUGCCAAUCUACAAGCAUCCCCAGUGAGUACCACACCGCCUUCAUACAAAGGAGGUAAGAUCAUGAUUGAUUAACUAAGCGUGGCAGACUGGCAGUGACUGCCUGCUAUGUCGACACAUUCACAACAUGCCAGCUGCCUCUCGCACCCUAUGCACACCGACUGUCUAAAUGACUCCAACUUUGAGCCUUGCAACACUCACUGUAGAAGCCAACCAUCACAUUUGUCUGGUUGCACCUACUUUGCAAACAAGCUUUUUGAUCCCUCUAGCAACCAAGCUCUUCUCCUUCAAGCACGGGAGUCAUUGCCAAUUAAUGUGUUUUCUGUUCUUUUCUGGCAUGUGCCUAUUUCAAUUCUUGUUUGGAUUGAUCAAUUUGCCGCCCCCUUUCGAUUCGCACAAUUGGAUUCAGUUACUUUAGGUUCUCCGUCAUUUAUCAUGGGUAACUGACGUGUCUACCUUCAAAAAACAUGGCUUACCUUACCGAAAUUCCCGAUAAAAUGGAGUUAGCAUAUCUGCAUUCUUCUAGGCAAGAAAUGUGCUUGUGGCUGCAUAAAUAUUGUUACAGUUUCUCCCUGCAGUUUAACUGAGCACUGACAUUCAUGGGAGUUCUGCCAGUGAUGGGGCUGGCAAGUGGACAGAACACAGGAUGAGGGUGAAGAAGAUAAGAGGUCCAUUUUUUAUUUGCUGCUGAUGAUUGACUGGAUGUCACCAUUGCAUAUUCUGUGGUGUAAGCUGCUAGAGUGGCAAAAUAACCUCCACGUCAGUAGAAACACUAAUACGAACCACUAAUGGCCAUAUGAGAGGGUUAAAUAACCAGUUCCACAAUUUAAGGAGUUAAAUAGAAUUUCUCAAUAGUCCGGAUGAGGAAAGUAAACUUGUUCCAUUAGAACUAAUUCACAGCCUAUGGAGGCCUUCAUGAGUUCUACACUUGCAGGAAAUUCUCGUGAAACUGAACAUAUCAUCAAACCCAUUAUACAACUAACGUCUCAAAUAUUCCAACGAUAUGCCAACAAUGCAAAGACCUCAUUUAAUCAACUUACUGGAGAUUACGCCUACGGAUAGUGGACUCUUCUCCACCUCCCAGAAGAAGCUCCCUCUAGAGAAAGCAAAAUUAGAUUGUGAGAGCACCUUAAAUCACGGUAAGCUAGCAUUGCUCAGUUAGUAAAGUAUCAAAUUAAUGGAGCAUACUCUGAAGAAAAACCACACACCUCUUCUUGAGCAGCCUUUCCCAUGUUCGCUUUUGCUUGUAAGUUAGCACUCCUCAGUCUCACACGCAGCCUGAGAAACAAAAAUCAGUUGUAUACAAAAACUAAAGAAACAAAGCAAGCAAGAAAGAACUCUAAGAACAGCUUACCUCUGAUAUUGUUCCUUCCAUGACCCUAAGGUUGCCUGUCCAGACUGAACUUCUUCAAAAGUGGGUAGCUGCUCUGCCAGAAGAUCAAGUCUGCACUGCAGUGCAUUGAGCAAUUGCAGUGCAUCCUGUGCAGAACCGUUCAACCUAGGAAGAGACAUUGCUUCUUCUGUCCCUUUUCCCAUCUUCCCACAAGAUUCAAUUGCAGCAAUGCACACCUCAAGCUGUGCAACUGCUUGGCUCCAUUCCUUUUUCAAGUUUUCAACGGCUUGUGUGACCUCAUCCAUCCGUAUUAUCUGAAUAGAUCAAUUCAACGGAUUUAUAAUGCUGCUACUAAGAAAGCAAUUACUGGUUAAAGACGAGACCUGUAAUGAAAGCGGAAUCAAGCAAGAAACGUUCAAUUGGCAAACUGACAGGUAGUGCUGGGCUAGGCUCACUUCCUGCUGGUAAUCAAAUUUACCACCUCAACAAGAGAUUUCCGUCCCAAAUAUAAGCUUAGAUAAGGAAAGUACUUAAGUACAUGAAUACCUGCCCCAGGUAGCAGAAGAUUAAUCUGAACUAGAAAUUGUUUAAACGUAAGCUGCUACUCUAGCUGCAGUGCCCGAUGGCUGAAGCAGUUGAGCUCCAAACGGAUGGUUAUCGAAGUCCAAUUUAGGUGCUUCUAUUUCAUAUACUAGCAUGUAGAACUUUAUAACAUAGUGCUUUCAACAUGAAAGGCACGUAAGAACCAAUCAAUAACCACGCAUAUUUAGAAACUAUGUACCUUUUUUUCUCCUUGAGAAGGUUCAGUUGUUUAGAAAGACCACUAGCAAGUUUGUCAUGUGAGACAAUAAAGACAUGUUAUAAUCUUAUAAUCAUUAAUUGAUAGAGCGGUUGCAGCUGAUAUUUUUUAGCUGAGCUGAUUUUUAUUUUAUAUGUUGUGUAAUCACGUCACUAUACUAGAAGGCAAUCCCAUAUGCUCAAAAGAUAAAGAUAUAUUCUGCUCAAGUAAGAAGAAGAACACCAUGCAUGUCUUGCUCAUUGCAGUGAUAGCUCUAGCAGUACUGGUGUUGGGGGCGCGCUCGGCGGCGCGUCACACCGGCCGGCCACGGCAGCUGGGCGAGGCAAGCGCAGGGAGUCGGCGAGGGAGAGCGGGGCGGGACCAGCAGGGCGCGAGCAAGGAGGUGGGCGACGGGGCGCAAGCUGGUGGCUGUGGGUGCGGGGCGGGAUGCGCUUGGAGCGCGCAUGGGAACGACAAGGCCAGAGCGAGCGGCACGGCCAGGGCGCGUGCAGCAAGUGCAGCCGGCGGCGAACGGCGGUGGUCAGGCGGCGUUGCGAGGCUGCGGCAGGGAGGGCCAGCAGCCAGCAACGGUUGACGGCAAGCGACGACCGCGGGCAGGAACGAGAAGACGCCGGCGAGCUAGGGAGAGGCCACGGCGGGGGUAGCGGCGACGGGGAGGAACGGGGCGGCGCGGUGAGGGAGAGACGAGGAGAGGGAGGCGCUCACUGGGGCCGUAGGGUUAAGGGCAGUGGGGCGCGAGGUGGGGGUUGGAGACGUCCGCCGGAGGGGAGGCAGUCCAGCGGGGAGGUCUGGCGACAUCCAGGCGGCGGCGGGGUUCGUUCCGGGCGGCGGAGUCGUUCCCCCGAUCCAGAUCGGAUCGGGAGGGGGGAGGGGACGAGGGAGUGGGGGAAGUGGGUGGUUGGGUCGAUCUAGGUCACGGGAGGAGUGGGGGGUUAUGGGGGCGCCGGCUGGUGGCCGGUUGGGCCGGUGGCCGAAUGGGCCGGCCUGCUGGGCCGAAGCCCAGUGGGGGGCCUUUCUCUCUUUUUCCCUUUUUUGUUUGUUUUCUGUUUUCACAGUUUCUUUUCUGUUUCAAUUCAGUUUAAAACAUUUAUGCAUUUUAUAAAACUGUAUCCUCUACACCAUAAUUAUCUAUGUAAUAUUUAGUACAAACCGAACAUUUUAGUUUAAUAUUUUGAAAACUUUUGUCGUUUGACUUAUUUAGGGUUUAAAUUUGAAACGGUUUUGAAUUAACCCGAGAUUAAUUACAGUGACAGAGGUGACGUGUCACCAUUAACGUGAGAUCACUGUAGCAUGAUUAUCCGGGCGUUACAAAUCUCCUCCACUACAAGAAAUCUCGUCCCGAGAUUUAGGAGGUAGAAGGAAACAGUGCAGGGUAUUCAUCGCGAAGACGAUCCUCGCGUUCCCAGGUGGCUUCGUCUUCAGAGUGAUUCGACCACUGGAUCUUGAGGAACUUGAUCGCCUUCUGACGGGUGCAGCGUUCAGCUUGGUCGAGAAUGCGGACCGGAUGCUCUUUAUAGGAGAGGUCCUGUUGCAAUUCGAGCACUUCAUGGUCCACUGCUCGGAUUGGGUCCUUGAAGCAGCGUCGAAGUUGCGACACGUGGAACACAUCGUGAACCUGAGAAAGGUUUGACGGAAGCUCCAAUUGAUAUGCCACUUUUCCACGCCUUUCGAGAAUAGUGAAAGGACCAAUAUAGCGGGGAGCUAACUUUCCUUUGAUCUCGAAGCGGUGAGCACCCUUCAUUGGUGUAACUCGAAGAUAAGCCUUUUUGCCAGGUUGAUAGACCAUGUCUUGGUGAUGACGGUCAUACUGACUUUUCUGACGUGACUGAGCAGUCUUGAGAUUCUCGCGAAUAAUGCGAACUUGUCCUUCGGCCUGUUGGAUAAUAUCCGGACCAAAGAGUGGACAUUCCCCCGUUUCUGACCAGUUCAGAGGGGUUCGACACUUUCGUCCAUAUAGCACUUCGAAGGAGGACAUCUUCAGACUAGCUUGAUAGCUAUUAUUAUAAGAGAACUCGGCAUAUGGAAGAGAUUCCUCCCAUUUCUUGCUGAAUGAUAUUACACAAGCUCGAAGCAUGUCUUCGAGAACUUGGUUGACACGUUCAACCUGUCCUUGCGACUGAGGAUGAAACGCAGUACUGAACGACAGAUGAGUCCCCAUAGCUUCUUGGAAACUUGCCCAGAAUCUUGAAGUGAAUAAGCUGCCACGGUCUGAACUGAUAACCAGUGGAAUACCGUGAAGUGAAACAAUUCUGGCCAUGUAGAGAGUAGCAAGCUGACUAGCAGUGAUUGUCUCUUUGACCGCCAGAAAAUGUGCAACUUUAGAAAGCCGGUCAAUGACGACAAGAAUAGCAUCAUUACCUUUCUGCGAUUUUGGAAAUCCAGUGACGAAGUCCAUCUCAACAUGGUCCCAUUUCCAUUCAAGAAUAGAGAUAGGUUGCAGAGUUCCAGCAGGCCUCUGAUGCUCUGCUUUGAUACGGCGACAUACGUCACACUCAACAACAUAACGAGCAAUGUCCUGCUUCAUAUUAGACCACCAGAAUCUUUGACGAAUAUCCUGGUACAUCUUUGUACUACCAGGAUGGAUGGACAUAGGCGUAUCAUGAGCUUCUUGCAUAACCCUUUUAGUCUUAUCCAGGUUUUUCUUCGAACAUGGUACCACUAGGCGGCCUUUGAAAUACAAGGCGCCAUCGUCGGCGAUAGUGAAGAAUGAGGGCUUUCCUUCUGCUAGAUGGCGUUUAAUCUUAUGGACUUCAGAGUCAUAAUCUUGUAUAGUCUUUAUACCAGCUACGAGAUCUGGUACGACAGUCAGGGUAUUUAGAGAACCCUUAGUAAUAACAAGAAGAUUCAUCUUGCGGAAUUUCGGGGGAGGGGGAGCGAGUGCUCCAAGAGGAACAAUAUGGAGGUUCAGCUUUCUAAAUUCUUCGACAAGCGAGGGCUGAACUUUAUGAACCUGGAGGUGGUUGCAGUAAGACUUGCGGCUCAAGGCAUCAGCCAUUACAUUAGCCUUGCCGGGGGUAUAGGAUAUACCCACGUCAAAGUCUGCAACAGUCUCCAUCCAUCUCUGCUGACGGAGGUUCAGAUCUGGCUGAGUAAACAGAUACUUUAGACUUUGAUGGUCAGUGAAGAUCUCACAACGAUUACCGAGAAGGUAAUGUCGCCACUGCUUCAGUGCAUGAAUGACAGCAGCCAGCUCGAGGUUGUGAACUGGGUAGUUUUCUUCGUGAGGGCGCAGUUGAUGAGAGGCAUAAGCAAUCACCCUGUGCUCCUGCAUUAGGACACAGCCUAAUCCUUGACGGGAAGCGUCGCAGUAAAUAACGAAGUCCUUCUUAGUAUCAGGUGGUGCAAGCACGGGGGCAGAAGUCAACUUGCCUUUGAGCGCCUGGAAACUUUCCUGACACUUGUCUGUCCAGUCAAACUUGACACCCUUAUGCAACAGAUUAGUCAGGGGCCUGGUAAUCUUGGAGAAGUUCUUGACGAAUCGACGGAAAUAGCUAGCGAGACCGAGGAAACUUCGGACUUGCUUCACAUUCUUCGGAGGAGUCCAAUCGAGAAUAGCCUGAACUCGUUCAGGGUUGACGGCAAUACCAUCCUUGUAGAUGACAUGCCCAAGAUAGGUUACUUCGGGGAGCCAGAAUUCACACUUGGAAUACUUAGCAUACAGCUGAUGCUCCCGAAGCUUUUCCAGCACAAGACGAAGAUGUUCAGCAUGUUCUUCCUUGUUCUUGGAAAAUACAAGGAUAUCGUCCAAAUAAACCACGACGAACUUGUCGAGGUAAUCCAUGAAUAUAUAGUUCAUCAGACGAGAGAAGGUGGCUGGAGCAUUCGUUAAGCCGAAUGACAUGACGGUGUACUCGUAUGAUCCAUACCGAGUCACGAAGGCGGUUUUUGGGAUGUCCUCUUCACGAACACGGAUCUGGUGGUAACCCAACCUCAAGUUGAGUUUGGAGAACACUGAUGAGCCAGCCAGUUGAUCAUAAAGAUCAUUGAUCCGAGGAAGAGGGUAUUUAUUCUGAAUGGUAGCUUGGUUUAUAGGACGGUAGUCUUGGACUAAUCGGUUUGUCCCAUCCUUCUUCUUAACAAAGAGAGAAGGUGCUCCCCAAGGAGAGCAACUUGGGCGAAUGAAACCUUUGACAAGAGAUUUGUCGAUUUCCUCCUUAAGCUCAAUGAGCUCAUGCGGCGGCAUCUUGUAGGGUCGUUUAGCUAUAGGGGUGGUGCCGGGUUUCAAGUCGAUGAUGAAUUCGGCAGCUCUAGCAGGGGGAAUCCCUGGAAGCUCUUCUGGGAAGACAUCUUGGAAUUCAUGAACGACGGGAAUGUUUUCAAUGCCCUCGAGUGGUGCAGCGUUCAACGCAUUCAAGGCAUAAAGCCGUGCCUCGGCGUUUUGCACCAGAUGAGCUUGGUAAGUAACUAUUUCGUCUGAAGGGUGUAGCAGAUGGACGGUCUUAGUGGCACAAACUAUAGAAGCAGUAUGCGCUUUUAACCAAUUCAUUCCCAGAAUGAGAUCAAUGCUACAGGACUUCAGUAUGAUGGGAGAGACAAGGAAUUCUAGUCCUUCGAUUUCUACAGGGACGUCGUUGUAAAUCAUGGAGGUUCGACAUUGGCCCGCAGGGGUGUGUAGUAAUAGUGAAGCAUUCAUGUCCUCACAUUUAAUGUCGUGCAAGCAUGCAAAACCUUCUGACAUGAAUGAAUGUGAUGCACCUGUAUCAAAUAAAACGGAUGCUGGUACUGAAUUUACGAGGAGGGUACCCAUCACAGUAGCAGGCUGGUCUUGAGCUUCGCUCAGAUCAACGUGGUUGGCAUGAACACGACCAUAAGACUUGGCAUUGUUGCUGCGGGGCUGGUUGCUUCCACGGCCAGUUGCUGGAAGGGCCAGUUGAUUCUGGUUCUGGUUGCAUUCCCUAGCACGGUGCCCUGGUUGUCCACACCUGAAGCAUAACCCGUUAUUGGGAGUGGGAACAGGAGCUUGUGGUGGUGGAGCUGGGAGUCUUGGCUGCCUAGUCGGAGGAGCAGGCAGACGAGGUGCAACAUAGGUCUGCCUUGGGGCAGGUGCAUCCGGCUGGUACAUGCUAUUGGGAAUCUAUAUCUUGCGCUUCUGCGAGGACGGGCCCGAAGAUGAGCCCGUGUCAUGGUUGCGCCUGUGAGAGCUCUGGUAUUCCUGCAGACCAGUUUCGACAUUGAUGGCCUUGUUCACCAGAGUGGCGAAAUCAGCAAAGUCAUGCACUAGAAGUGCGAGCUUGAUGUCAGCUUGAAGGCCAUCACAGAACUUCUCCUGUCUGCAUGCAUCAGUUGCAAUGUCCUCUUCAGCAUAGCGGGACAAGUCAAGAAACUCCCGCUGAUAAGCUUCAACAGUCGUGUUGCCUUGGGUGAGGUUGCGAAACUCACGCUUCUUACUGUCCAUGACUCCCUGAGGAAUGAAGCAAGCAUGGAAGGCAGCUUGGAAGUCUGGCCAGGUGAUGAUUGUUCCAACUGGCAGAGCACGCCUGUGGCUAUCCCACCAUUGAGCUGCGGGUCCCUUCAGGAAGAAGGAAGCAAAGGUGACAUAGCUGGCAGGGGCUACAUCAGCAGACUGCAUCUCAUAGGUGAUGUCACGGAGCCAGUCAUCAGCAUCCAGAGGCUGAGUUGAGCUGCGGUACACAGUUGGGUUCAGGCGCAUGAAAUCCUGCAGAGUUACUGGGGUUGGCUGCUGGUUCAUAUUGGGGCGAGGAAACUGAGCCAUCAUAUUCUCCAUGAACUGGCGAUUCAUCUCAAGCUGUUGGAUCAUACCAGCCAUGUACUCAGGCGGUGGUGGGAGGUUGCCACCACGUCCACGACCACCUGGUCUAACCAUCCUGCUAAUAUAUAACAGGGGUAGUUCAGCAUCGAGAAAUUUUGCAAGGGCAAGAAUCAUUCAUGAUGAAACCUGCACAAUGAAAGCAGCACGAUAGAUACUACAUAGUAGUCGGCAUAUCUUACAAAAGAGAUCAUGCAUAGAGUUCGGUACACAGAGUUCAGUACAUAGACUAAUACAUCAUAGGCGGCACGCAGGAUCGCGACGAAUGCAUCUAACACUAAUAAGCAAGCCUUCAUCAGUCCCAGGAGGAACUGUGGAGGUAGGUGUAGCCUGACAGCUGGUAGUGACGCGAAGGGAAGACCGCCACGCGAGCAGCCUGGGGUCCGCGGAUGCUCUGGUGCGGAACCCGAUGCGCAGGUGGCAGGAGAGGACCAAGUGCAGGAGAGUAGCCUCCGACAUCUGGCCAGCCGACGCCCUGGGGCAUCACGGUCCUGGCAGGGUAGACCGCAGAACGCGACAGAUCACCAGAUCGGACAGAGGGGUGCAACAGCGUCAGAGCACGGUACAGGUGCUGACGGGUGGUGUACAACUCGUGGCGAAGAGCUCGGUUAGCUCUAUCCAGCCCAUCAGCAUGCAGAAUCAGGUUCUGAUGGUAGAAGGGCUCUCGGGUGACGGUGGAGUAGGCAGCAGUGUAGUAUCCCUCCACACCAACAUCAGAUGCGAUAGCAAUGUGCCUGAAGGGGGAGGUGUCCAACUCCUGAUACUCUCCAUGAAGACGUGUCAGAGCAGCAUAAGCAGCAUCGUGGACCGCCAUAUCGAUAGUCACUCCAACACCAUGAGCAGUGUGCAGCACAGUAGUGGAGUCAUACUCCCGAGAGUAGAGGUGGACGAUGGCACGGUACUGCUCUUGGUUGAAGUCCUGAUACUCCUCAUAUACAGUGUACUCAGGGUGCCAGCGAUAACCCAGAUAGGUCAUCAUCUCAACCAACACAACAGGUGAUCCUGAGGCACCAAUGGCCGUCGUGUGGCGCACGACCUGCCUCGUGGGUUCCAUCUGAAAACAAGGAUGUUUUCACAGGAGUCAAAUGACAAUGUGGAUAAUGUUCAAAUACUACUCUAAAGAAUAACUAGGGCUUAUCCAACUUUGGGGUGAACAUGGUCACGGGAUCCUAGUGUUAGAGUUAGUAAAAUCGUUUAACCCGAGUAGGAGAGAGUUCAGAGUCCCAGAGUAAGGAUCGAGGAGUAAAAGAUCCUAAUACCACCCAGAUGGCGACGUGGGCCCGUAAGGCACACAACCAUGUUAGUAAAAGUUUUGUAAUGUCUAGACUCAACUUCGGCCAAGGAGUGUGGAAGGGGGAUUCCUAUAGGCAGUCGGCUCUGAUACCAACUUGUGACGCCCCCGAUUUGACCGUACACUAAUCAUACACGCAAACGUGUACGAUCAAGAUCAGGGACUCACGGGAAGAUAUCACAACACAACUCUACAAAUAAAAUAAGUCAUACAAGCAUCAUAUUACAAGCCAGGGGCCUCGAAGGCUCGAAUACAAGAGCUCGAUCAUAGACGAGUCAACGGAAGCAACAAUAUCUGAGUACAGACAUAAGAUAAACAAGUUUGCCUUAAGAAGGCUAGCACAAACUGGGAUACAGAUCGAAAGAGGCGCAGGCCUCCUGCCUGGGAUCCUCCUAACUAUUUCUGGUCGUCGUCAGCGGGCAGCACGUAGUAGUAGGCACCUCUGGUGUAGUAGGAGUCGUCGUCGAAGGUGGCGUCUGGCUCCUGGGCUCCAACAUCUGGUUGCGACAACCAGGUAGAAGGGAUAGGGGGAAAAGAGGGAGAAAGCAACCGUGAGUACUCAUCCAAAGUACUCGCAAACAAGGAGCUACACUACAUAUGCAUGGGUAAAUGUGUAAAGGGCCAUAUCGGUGGACUGAACUGCAGAAAGCCAGAAUAAGAGGGGGAUAGCUAAUCCUAUCGAAGACUACGCUUCUGGCCACCUGCAUCUUGCAGCAUGUAGAAGAGAGUAGACUGAAGUCCUCCAAGUAGCAUCGCAUAGCAUAACCCUAACCGAUGAUCCUCCCCUCGUCGCCCUGUGAGAGAGCGAUCACCGGUUGUAUCUGGCACUUGGAAGGGUGUGUCUUAUUAAGUAUCCGGUUCUAGUUGUCAUAAGGUCAAGGUACAACUCCAAGUCAUCCUGUUACCGAAGAUCACGGCUAUUCGAAUAGAUUAACUUCCCUGCAGGGGUGCACCACAUAACCCAACACGCUCGAUCCCAUUUGGCCGGACACACUUUUCUGGGUCAUGCCCGGCCUCGGAAGAUCAACACGUCGCAGCCCCACCUAGACCAACAGAGAGGUCAGCACGCCGGUCUAAACCUAAGCACCCAGGGGUCUGGGCCCAUCGCCCUUAGCACACCUGCAUGUUGCGUGGGCGGCCGGAAGCAGACCUAGCCUAGUAGGUGUUCCAGUCCAAUCCAGUGCGCGCCGCUCCGUUGCUGAUGUCACGAAGGCUUCGGCUGAUACCACAAUGUCGAGUGCCCAUAACUAUCCCCGCGUAGAUGGUUAGUGCGUAUAGGCCAGUAGCCAGACUCAGAUCAAAUACCAAGAUCUCGUUAAACGUGUUAAGUAUCUGCGAACGCCAACCAGGGCCUGGCCCACCUCUCUCCUAGGUGGUCUCAACCUGCCCUGUCGCUCCGCCUCAAAGUAACAGUCGGGGGCCAUCGGGAACCCAGGCCCACCUCUACCGGGAUGGAGCCACCUGCCCCUUCAGCCCCCAUCUCCGAACAGUAUCACAGGUAAUGUAACUGUGUAAAGUAUAUUGUAUGUGCCCGUGAUCACCUCCCGAAGUGAUCACGGCCCAGUAGUAUAGCAUGGCAGACGGACAAGAGUGUAAGGCCACUGAUGGAACACUAGCAUCCUAUACUAAGCAGUAGGAUAGCAGGUAAUGGUAUCAACAGUAGUAGCAAGGAUAGGCUAUGCAUCAGGAUAGGAAUAACGGAAAGCAGUAACAUGCUACACUACUCUAAUGCAAGCAGUAUAGAGAAGAAUAGGCGAUAUCUGGUGAUCAAGGGGGGGGGGCUUGCCUGGUUGCUCUGGCAAGAGAGAGGGGUCGUCAACUCCGUAGUCGUAUUGGGUAGCAACGGCGUCGGUCUCGGUGUCUAGCGAGAGAAGAGGGGGAAGAAACAAUAAAUAUUUAAGCAAACAGAUGCAUAGCGAUGUAUGACAUGACAAGUAUUGGUGCUAGGGGUGCCCUAACACGGUAAGAGGUGAUACCCGGGAAGGGGGGAAACAUCCGGGAAAGUAUCCCCGGUGUUCCGCGUUUUCGGGCAGAGGAGCCGGAGGGGUAAAGUUGCGAGUUCGAUAGGUUAGGGAUGUGUGGCGGACGAACGGCCUGUGUAUCCGGAUUCGUCUCGUCGUUCUGAGCAACUUUCAUGUUGAAAAUAAUUUAAUCCGAGUUACGGAUUAAAAGAUAUGAUUUUCUAAAGAUUUUAUUAAUUUCUGGAAUUUAAUUAUUUAUUUAAUUUAAUUCGAAAUUUGGUUUUAUGACAUCAACAUGAUGUCAUGCUGACGUCAGCAGUCAACAGAGUUGACUGGUCAACCUGACCAGUGGGUCACACUGGUCAGUGACACAUUUUAAUUAAACAGUUUAAUUAAACUUAAUCAAAAUUAAUUAGGGGUGGGCCCCACUGUCAUACUAAUUAAUUAGCUAAUUAACUAACCAGGUUAAUUAGAUAACUAAUGUUUAAUUAAAUUAAUUAUUUGUUUAGUUUAAUUAAUCAAAACUAAUUAAGUUAAUUAUUUCUGUAAUUAAUUAAUUAAUUAAUUAGUUAUAUAUUUUUAUAUAUUUUUUUUUAAUUCUUCUUUUUUUUAAUAAAACGUUCUGGGGCCAUGGGGCCCCCGUGUUAGUGGCCCAGGGGGCCUAUUGGGCGCUGGGCACUAACGGGGCGGGUCGGGCGUUGUGGCACCCGACUGGGCGUUCGCCCAGAUCGCCGUGGCGAGGAGGGCCCGGGCACCGGCGAACAGGCACGGGGCGACGGCCGGCGGAGCAACGGGGUUGGGGGCGCGCUCGGCGGCGCGUCACACCGGCCGGCCACGGCGGCUGGGCGAGGCAAGCGUAGGGAGUCGGCGAGGGAGAGCGGGGCGGGACCAGCAGGGCGCGAGCAAGGAGGUGGGCGACGGGGCGCAAGCUGGUGGCUAUGGGUGCGGGGCGGGAUGCGCUUGGAGCGCGCAUGGGAACAACGAGGCCGGAGCAAGCGGCACAGCCAGGGCGCGUGCAGCAAGUGCGGCCGGCGGCGAACGGCGGUGGUCGGGCGGCGUUGCGAGGCUGUGGCAGGGAGGGCCAGCAGCCAGCAACGGUUGACGGCAAGCGACGACCGCGGGCAGGAACGGGAAGACACCGGCGAGCUAGGGCGAGGCCACGGCGGGGGUAGCGGCGACGGGGAGGAACGGGGCGGCGCGGUGAGGGAGAGACGAGGAGAGCGAGGCGCUCACUGGGGCCGUAGGGUUAAGGGCAGUGGGGCGCGAGGUGGGGGUUGGAGACGUCUGCCGGAGGGGAGGCAGUCCGGCGGGGAGGUCUGGCGAGGUCCAGGCGGCGGCGCGGUUCGUUCUGGGCGACGGAGUCGUUCCCCCGAUCCAGAUCGGAUCGGGAGGGGGGAAGGAACGAGGGAGUAGGGGAAGUGGGUGGUUGGGUCGAUCUAGGUCACGGGAGGAGUGGGGGGUUAUGGGGGCGCCGGCUGGUGGCCGGUUGGGCCGGUGGCCGAAUGGGCCGGCCUGCUGGGCCGAAGCCCAGUGGGGGGCCUUUCUCUCUUUUUCCCUUUUUUGUUUGUUUUCUGUUUUCGCAGUUUCUUUUCUGUUUCAAUUCAAUUUAAAACAUUUAUGCAUUUUAUAAAACUGUAUCCUCUACACCAUAAUUAUCUAUGUAAUAUUUAGUACAAACCGAAUAUUUUAGUUUAAUAUUUUGAAAACUUUUGUCGUUUGACUUAUUUAGGGUUUAAAUUUGAAACGGUUUUGAAUUAACCCGAGAUUAAUUACAGUGACAGAGGUGACGUGUCACCAUUAACGUGAGAUCACUGUAGCAUGAUUAUCCGGGCGUUACAAAUCUCCUCCACUACAAGAAAUCUCGUCCCGAGAUUUAGGAGGCCUUCUUCCAUCUGAGAACUCAUGAAAUUCAACUAAAAACAUUUUAAAAAAAAUUCUUAGAAACUACUACUAACAUGAACCCUUGCCACUUGAAAUGUUCGCUUGAUGCCGCAAUCCUACAAUACAACUCCACGAUUCCAAGUGGGUGUCUUGUAGAUCAGAGUAGAUACAAAAUACUUUAGUUCUGAACCACGGGGCACAGCGAUACAACAUUUGUGCGACGAAAGUAAAAACUUCGGGAUUAGAUUUCUGUGGUGUUUUCUACUAUUACAACUGGUACAAGCCAUGAAAUUCAAACAUGGCACAAAAAGCUUGCAAACAUAGAAGAGCGGUACAUGCUGCUGUUGCUGCUGGACAUUGCGCUAUCGCCUGGCCGUUUGCGGCUGGUCGCUUCCUCUGCCUCCUCCCCAGCACUGCUGCAGAAAGCAGCCGAACAGGGAGCAGAAAGCAGGGAGCGGGCGUGCGCGGGUGGAGAGACGAGCGGCAACGUGGGAAGGUCGGCAGGCGGAGCCGUGGCCCGUCGAGCCGUCGAAGACAAGGGGCGGCGGGCUGGCAGCGCCGGAGUGCGCAGGUGGAGUGGAGACCGGAGAGACCAGCGGCGGCCGCUAGGGAUUUAGAAAUACUGGGAAAAUUAUUUGUUCGAGGGAAAUAUUGGGGAAAUUUGGUCUACUGAUCGAUGGAUUUCUUCUCUUGUUUUCUUGAUUUUUUGAUGAGAUGAGAUCAGUUUCUUCGUGUCCGCUCGGUCUUCCGGCCGGAACAGGUUCCUUUAAGGCCAACUCCACCGCAGAACCCUAUCUUGUCCGGCUUUGUUCGUAUGGGGCCAAAUCUGUUCUAGCGGGCACAUCCAAACGGAUAAACAUGUCCGUUCGCGUUCGUUUUUGUCCGGCUCAACCUUAAAUCUAGACCAAACUUGAGUCACGAAUGCUCCCGAACGGACAGAAAACAGACGCUCUCCUCGUCCCUCUCGUCCGCUCCCAUCCGCCCUUGUCCGCCCUCUGGCCCACAAAUCAGUGAGACGAGAGCAAGACGCGGCCAGCGGCGAUGCCACCGGCGCAAGACGCAGCGAGCUGGGGGCGGGGCGUGCGCGGCGGGGCNNNNNNNNNNNNNNNNNNNNNNNNNNNNNNNNNNNNNNNNNNNNNNNNNNNNNNNNNNNNNNNNNNNNNNNNNNNNNNNNNNNNNNNNNNNNNNNNNNNNNNNNNNNNNNNNNNNNNNNNNNNNNNNNNNNNNNNNNNNNNNNNNNNNNNNNNNNNNNNNNNNNNNNNNNNNNNNNNNNNNNNNNNNNNNNNNNNNNNNNNNNNNNNNNNNNNNNNNNNNNNNNNNNNNNNNNNNNNNNNNNNNNNNNNNNNNNNNNNNNNNNNNNNNNNNNNNNNNNNNNNNNNNNNNNNNNNNNNNNNNNNNNNNNNNNNNNNNNNNNNNNNNNNNNNNNNNNNNNNNNNNNNNNNNNNNNNNNNNNNNNNNNNNNNNNNNNNNNNNNNNNNNNNNNNNNNNNNNNNNNNNNNNNNNNNNNNNNNNNNNNNNNNNNNNNNNNNNNNNNNNNNNNNNNNNNNNNUACUCGGGGCGAGCACGGGCGUGAGGCGACGGCAGGCCCAGGGCGGCGGCAGGCGCAUGGCGGCGGCGGGCGCGAGGCGGCACGACGAGCUCGGCGCGGCUCGGGGCGAGCGCAGUGAUACGUCUCCAACGUAUUUAUAAUUUUUGAUUGCUCCAUGCUAUAUUAUCUACUGUUUUGGAUGUUUAUGGGCUUUAUUAUACACUUUUAUAUCAUUUUUGGGACUAACCUAUUAACCCAGAGCCCAGUUCCAGUUUCUGUUUUUACCUUGUUUUAGGAUUUCGAAGAAAAGGAAAAUCACACGGAGUCCAAUUGACCUGAAACUUCACGGAACUCAUUUUUGAAAGGAAAGAAGCCCAGAAGACUUGAAGUGCACGUAAGGGAAGCUUCGAGGAGGCCACGAGGUAGGGGGGCGCGCCCUCCACCCUCGUGGGCCCCUCGUGGUCCCCCUGACGUACUUCUUCCUCCUAUAUAUCUUCAUAUACCCUAAAACGAUCGGAGAGCACAAUAGAUCGGGAGUUCCGCCGCCAGAUGUCUCCGUAGCCACCGAAAGCCAAUCUAGACCCGUUCCGGCACCCUGCCGGAGGGGGAAUCCCUCUCCGGUGUCCAUCUUCAUCAUCCCGGUGCUCUCCAUGACGAGGAGGGAGUAGUUCUCCCUCGGGGCUGAGGGUAUGUACCAGUAGCUAUGUGUUUGAUCUCUCUCUCGUGUUCUUGAUUUGGCACGAUAUUGAUGUGUCACGAGCUUUGCUAUUAUAGUUGGAUCUUAUGUUUCUCCUCCCCCUCUACUCUCUUGUAAUGAAUUGAGUUUCCCCUUUGAAGUUAUCUUAUCGGAUUGAGUCUUUACAGAUUUGAGAACACUUGAUGUAUGUCUUUCCAUGCGUAUCUGUGGUGACAAUGAGAUAUCACGUGAUUCACUUGAUGUAUGUUUUGGUGAUCAACUUGCGGGUUCCGCCCAUGAACCUAUGCAUAGGGGUUGGCAGACGUUUUCGUCGUGAUUCUCUGGUAGGAACUUUGGGGCACUCUUUGAGCUUCUAUGUGUUGGUUUAUUAGAUGAAUCUGAGAUUGUGUGAUGCAUAUCGUAUAAUCAUACCCACGGAUACUUGAGGUGACAUCGGAGUAUCUAGGUGACAUUAGGGUUUUGGUUGAUUUGUGUCUUAAGGUGUUAUUCCAGUACGAACUCUAGGGCUGUUUGUGAAACUUAUAGGAAUAGCCCAACGUAUUGAUUGGAAAGAAUAACUUUGAGGUGGUUUCGUACCCUACCAUAAUCUCUUCGUUUGUUCUCCGCUAUUAGUGACUUUGGAGUGACUCUUUGUUGCAUGUUGAGGGAUAGUUAUGUGAUCCAAUUAUGUUAUUAUUGUUGAGAGGACUUGCACUAGUAAAAGUAUGAACCCUAGGCCUUGUUUCAACGCAUUGCAAUACCGUUUACGCUCACUUUUAUCAUUAGUUACCUUGCUGUUUUUAUAUUUUCAUAUUACAAAUACCUUUAUCUACCAUCUAUAUACCACUUGUAUCACCAUCUCUUCGCCGAACUAGUGCACCUAUACAAUUUACCAUUGUAUUGGGUGUGUUGGAGACAUAAGAGACUCUUUGUUAUUUGGUUGCAGGGUUGCUUGAGAGAGACCAUCUUCAUCCUACGCCUCCUACGGAUUGAUAAACCUUAGGUCAUCCACUUGAGAGAAAUUUGCUACUGUCCUACAAACCUAUGCACUUGGAGGCCCAACAACGUCUACAAGAAGAAGGUUGUGUAGUAGACACCAAGCUCUUUUCUGGCGCCGUUGCCGGGGAGGUUAGGGCUUGAAGGUAUAUCUUUAGAUCUUGCAAUCGAGUCUUUUAGUUUCUUAUUUUAUCACUAGUUUAGUUUAUAAAAGAAAACUACAAAAAAAUGGAAUUAAGUUUGCCUCAUACGUUUCAUUUUUUUAAUAUCUUUCGUGAGUAUGAUGGAAAGGAAAAUUGUGCUCAAGUGCUAGAAGAAGAAUGCAUUAGAAUGUUUGGCACUAAAUAUUUGAAUGAUGAGCAUGAUUGCAAUGUUGUUAGUAUGAAUUCCUUGAAUAUCUAUGAUGCUAAUGAUAUGCAAAGCCACAAGCUUGGGGAAGCUAUAUUUGAUGAAGAUGAUAUUUUUUGUCCCCCAAGUUUUGAUGAGCAAAUUUAUUAUGAUGAAAGCAUGCCUCCUAUCUAUGAUGGUUAUUGUGAUGACACAUAUGCUUUAAAGAAUAAUGAUAACAGUGAAACUUGUCAUCUUGUUAUCAAUUUUCAAUCCCAUGAUAGUUACUUUGUUGAGUUUGCUCCCACUACUAUUUAAGGGAAGAAUUUUGCUUAUGUGGAGAGUAAUAAAAUUUCUAUGCUUGUAGAUCAUGAAAAAAAUAAUUUAGGUGUUGGUUAUAUUGUUGAAUUCAUUCUUGAUGCUACUGAAAAUUAUUAUGAGGGAGGAAUAUAUGUUUGUAGGAAUUGCAAUAAUACCAAGUUUCCUCUCUAUGUGCUUAAAAUUUUGAAGUUAUGCUUGUUUUACCUUCCUAUGCAAGUUGAUUAUUGUUCCCAUAAGUUGUUUUCUCACAAAAUCCCUAUGUAUAGAAAGUAUGUUAGGCUUAAAUGUGCUAGUCAUAUUCUUCAUGAUGCUCUCUUUAUGUUUUAAUUCUUAUCUUUUAUGUGAGCAUCAUUGAAAUCAUCGUGUCUAGCUAGGGGCGUUAAACGAUAGCGCUUGUUGGGAGGCAACCCAACUUUAUUUUUAUUUCUUGAUUUUUGUUCCUGUUUAGUAAUAAAUAAUUCAUCUAUCCUAGGUUUAGAUGUGGUUUUAUUAUUUUAAUUAGUGUUUGUACCAAGUAGAACCUUUGGGAAGACUUGGGAAAAGUCUUGUUGAUCAUGCUGUAAAAAACAGAAACUUUAGCGCUCACGAGAAUUGCUGCCAUUUUUAUUUGGAGAGUGAUAUUUAGUUAAUUCUUUUUGCAUAUUAUUAAUAGAUAAAUUCCUCAGGUCCAGAAAUUUAUUUGAGAAUUUUAUGAGUUCCAGAAGUGGUCGAAACCUACAGAUUACUACAGACCGUUCUGUUUUUGACAGAUUCUGUUUUGAUUGUGUUGUUUGCUUAUUUUGAUGAAUCUAUGAGUAGUAUCGGAGGGUAUGAACCAUAGAGAAGUUGAAAUACAGUAGAUAUUACACCAAUAAGGAUUUAGAAUGAGUUCAUUAGAGUACCUUAUGAUGGUGAUUUUCUUUCUUAUACUAACGGAGCUUACGAGUUUUCUGUUAAGUUUUGUGUUGUGAAGUUUUCAACUUUUGGGUAAAGAUUCGAUGGACUAUGGAAUAAGGAGUGGCAAGAGCCUAAUAUUGGGGAUGCCCAAGGCACUCCAAGGUAAUAUUCAAGGACAACCAAGAGUCUAAGCUUGGGGAUGCCCCGGAAGGCAUCCCCUCUUUCGUCUUCGUUCAACGGUGACUUUACUUAGAGCUAUAUUUUUAUUCGCCACAUGAUAUGUGUUUUGCUGGGAGCAUCAAUUUAUUUUGUUAGGAUUUGCUUGCUGUUAUUUAGAACAAUGUUUUUCAUCUUUUAUUUCAAUAAAAGUGGCAUUGAUAGCCUUUACUAUGCCUAUGUUACAAGUAUACAUGUUGCUGUUUGAAAACAGAGAGUUUACCGCUGUUGCAAUAAUUUCCUAGAAAAUUCAGAAUGUGAUAAAAUGUUGAAACCUUUUGCAUAUUAAGAUCUGAUAAAUUUACUACAGUGGGAAUUUUCUUUCAUAAUUUUUGAAGCUAGGGAAGUAUGGAUGUUGAUGCAUUCUUUACUGACUGUCCUGUUUAGGCAGAUUGCUGUUAUGUUUGCAUUGUUUGCAUAUGUUAGCUUCUUUAAUAAUUCUAUUUGAGGAUAGGACUAUUAAAUAUGCAGAGGCAUUUAGUAUGGAAUGUUUAAUAAUAAUUUUAGUGAUUUGCUACAGUAGAGUAUGAUACGGUUUUUGCAAUGGUUUAUACUAACUUAUCUCAUGAGUCCUUGUUGAGUUUUGUGUGGAUGAAGCUUUUGAUUUAAGGAGAUCGUGAUAUGAGAGGAAUUAAGAAGACACAAAAGCUCAAGCUUGGGGAUGCCCAAGGCACCCCAAGACAAUAUUUAAAGAAGUCUCAAGGGUCUAAGCUUGGGGAUGCCCCGGUUGGCAUCCCACCUUUCUUCUUCAACAACUAUCGGUUAGUUUCGGUUGAUCCUAAGUUUUUGCUUCUUCACAUGAUGUUUGCCAUUAUUAGAAUGUCAUUUUUUUUCUUUGCUUGCUGUUUGAAUAAAAUACCAAGAUCUAAAAUUAUUAAAUGUUAGAGAGUCUUCACAUAGUUGCAUAAUUAUUUGACUACUUAUUGAUCUUCACUUAUAUCUUUCGAAGUAGUUUGUCAUUUGCUCUAGUACUUCACUUAUAUUUUUUAGAGCAUGGUGGUAGUUUUAUUUUGAAGAAAUAGAUGAACUCUCAUGCUUCACUUAUAUUAUUUUAAGAGUCUUAAAUAGCAUGGUAAUUUGCUUAAAAUUCUAAUAUGCUAGGUAUUCAAGAUUAGUAAAAUUUUCUUAUGAGUGUUUUGAAUACUAAGAGAAGUUUGAUGCUUGAUGAUUGUUUUGAGAUAUGGAGGUAAUAAUAUAAAAGUCGUGCUAGUUGAGUAGUUGUGAAAUUGAGAAAUGCUUGUGUUGAAGUUUGCAAGUCCCAUAGCAUGCACGUAUGGUAAACGUUAUGUAACAAAUUUGAAACAUGAGGUGUUAUUUGAUUGUCCUCCUUAUAAGUGGCGGUCGGGGACGAGCGAUGGUCUUUUCCUACCAAUCUAUCCCCCUAGGAGCAUGCGCGUAGUACCGAGGUUUUUGAUGAAUUGUAGAUUUUUGCAAUAAGUAUGUGAGUUCUUUAUGACUAAUGUUGAGUCCAUGGAUUAUACGCACUCUCACUCUUCCAUCCUUGCUAGCCUCUUCGGUACCGUGCAUUGCCCUUUCUCACAUUGAGAGUUGGUGCAAACUUCGCCGGUGCAUCCAAACCCCGUGAUAUGAUACGCUCUGUCACACAUAAACCUCCUUAUAUCUUCCUCAAAACAGCCACCAUACCUACCUAUUAUGGCAUUUCCAUAGCCAUUCCGAGAUAUAUUCCGAUGCAACUUUCCCUCAUUCCGUUUAUUAUGACACAUUCAUCAUUGACAUAUUGCUUAGCAUCAUCAUGUAGUUGACAUAGUAUUUGUGGCAAAGCCACCAUUCAUAAUUCUUUCAUACAUGUCACUCUUGGUCCAUUGCAUAUCCUGGUACACUGCCGGAGGCAUUCAUAUAGAGUCAUCUUUUGUUUUAGUAUCGAGUUGUAAUCAUUGAGUUGUAAAUAAAUAGAAGUGUGAUGAUCAUCAUUUUCUAGAGCAUUGUCCCAAGUGAGGAAUAAAAAAAGAGAAAGGCCAUAAAAAAAGAGAAGGCCCAAAAAAAGAGAGAAAGGCCAUAAAAAAGAUAAGGCCCAAAAAAAUGAAAAAAAAUUGAAAAUGAGAGAAAAAGAGAGAAGGGACAAUGCUACUGCCCUUUGCCACACUUCUGCUUCAAAGUAGCACCAUAAUCUUCAUAGUAGAGAGUCUCUCAUGUUAUCACUUUCAUAUACUAGUGGGAAUUUUUCAUUAUAGAACUUGGCUUGUAUAUUCCAACAAUGGGCCUCCUCAAGUGCCCUAGGUCUUCGUGAGCAAGCAAGUUGCAUGCACACCCACUAGCACUACAAAAAAAUACACUUCCGUGAUGAUACGUGUUUGUCACAGUAGGUUGCUUUUUUUGUCAUGCAUGUACAUCCAUGACAAAUUUAUGACAGAAUCAAGAUAGUCAUACCUGUGCUGUCGUAGAAGUGUUCCAUGACAUUACCAAAAUUAUCAUCACGGAAGUGUCCACUUCCAUGACGAUAAAUUGUGCGUCACAGAAGUGCUUUCGUCAAGGGUGACCGACACGUGGCAUCCACCGUAACGGAACGCCGUUAAGCUAUCGGGCCGGGUUUUGGAUCCGAUAACCCGUUAACAGCCCCGACCAAUGGGGAUUUUCCACGUGUAAAAUCAUCAUUGGCUAGAGGAAACACGUGUCGGCUCAUCGUCGGGACAGAUGUCAUCCACUCACUGGACAGAAGGCGCCUAUGAUACGUCGACACAUGGCACGGCCCAACAAGUUUAAAUGGGCCGGCCCAACUAAAGGCCCACAAGAUUUUGCAGACCAUAAUGGGCCGACCCAGCUAAAGGCCCAUGAGAUUUUGUGGACCAUAAUUGGCUGGCCCAGCUAAAGACCCACAAGAUUUCGUGGGCCAUAAUGGGCCGGCCCAGGUAAAGGCCCACAAGAUUUUUGUGUGCCAUAAUAGGUCGGCCCAGGUAAAGGCCCACGGUGACUCUAGCCCAUAAUGAACAGUAAUUUUCUUUAUACCCGUUAACGACCCGUGAUUUACAUGGGCCGUUUCCAGCCCAUGUUAGCUUUCAGCCUAUUGACGGCCCAUACGUUCUUGGGCUCCUUUUCGGCCCUCGAUUACUUCCAGCCCGUUACUGGACUGUUCCCCUAAUGGACCAAAUUCGGCCCAUGGCAAGAGUCGGCCCGUUACUGGCCUGUUCCACUAAUGGGCCAAAUUCGGCCCAUGGCAAGAGUUGGCCCGUUACUGGCUUGUUACCCUAAUGGGCCAAAUUCGGCCCAUGGCAAGAGUCGGCCCGUUUCUGGCCUGUUAACCCGUUGCGUCGUUUCUAGCCCGUCCUAUAUUCUGGCCCAUUAACGACCCGUUAUGCCUGUGACAGAAUUAAGCCUUUUGAUGUCCUACGGCCUGUUAACGGCCUGUUACCGUGCUGGGCCGAUACCAAUUAUGCCCGAUUAUGGCCCAUGUAGACCCAUUUAUCAGACGGCCCGAGGCCCACCGAUUACAGGCCCAUUUAUCGACGGCCCGUAGGAGAGCCAUGGAUCCUACGGCCCAUAUAUGGCCCAUGGUAGUUGCGGCCACUAGCAAACUAGGGAAAAAGAAGACUAGGAAAUAAAUAAGGCCGAAACUAAUGCUAGGCUAUUAAGGCGAUUGCACAGAUUACAUCCACUCGGCAUCAAAGAUCGCCACCAGUGCAAAUAUAGGGAACACCCUACACUAUACAAAAAUGGCUUGCUGUUUUCUUCAUGCGGUGGCUGCACAUUAAGAAUAAAUUUUUUAUCACACCAAAACAAAUUACAACUAUAUAAUAAAAGGAAGGUUGGCAUAAAACUUAACAGUCUAACAGAUAAAUGCACCACCAGAAGUUUAGAAGCUCAGUUCAUUUGACCUGACUGUUAUGUUUUCAUGUUGUAUUGUCUGAUGGAGCACUAUAACCCUCGCCUUCAUUUCCCCUAGGCUCCUGAACAACAUAGCAAAUGUCUGAUAGUAUGGUUUCAAAACCAUGCAUAUCUUGACGACAUUGAGCAAUGUUUCUCCUUGUUUCACAAAGGGUCUCUGUUAGGGAAUUGACUUGUGUCUGGAGCGCAGAUACAACAUUGCUUUGAGCUUGCAUAUCUUGAUCAUGAGGCAGUUUGGACGAUAUUGCCUUAACAACCAACCCAGUAUUACGCAGGAAUGUGCUUUUGGCACUGUUAAUGGACAUGUACUGACCCACUACAGCAAGAGCUGACAUUGCGGUUAUAGUUGCCUCGCCACCUUCAGAAGGUAGCGGUUCCACCAUUUUUUUCCAUAGCUCGCUGAAAAGUUGAGGUUUUACAUUAGUAGUACCAGAACAGAAGAUAUUAAGGAGGCAGCAAAACCAAACAAAAUAGCUUUGGUCUAUAUACCGAAUUUAUUCUGGUGAACCCAUGUAAAAUAUUAGUUGUAUUUUAUUACAAAGUACAUAAUAAAACCAGGUUCCAAACAUAUGACCAUGUACCGUCGCUAAUGUAUUGUCUAUUUCUUCACAUUGUAUUGAGGGCUAAGGAUAAAGAGACGAAGUUUAUAAUACGGUAAGCAUAGUAUGACAUCAUUCAUAUCACAAAACAACUGAGAACAGACAAACAGGCAAUUGUAACGUUGUGUGGGCAAGUCCAGCACGGAACUAGA
rnacentral:lncRNA from 1 species